rnacentral:rRNA from 1 species
UACGGAGGGUGCGAGCGUUGUCCGGAAUCACUGGGCGUAAAGGGCGCGUAGGCGGCCAUGUAAGUCCGCUGUGAAAGUCAAAGGCUCAACCUUUGAAAGCCGGUGGAUACUGCAUGGCUAGAGUACGGAAGAGGCGAGUGGAAUUCCUGGUGUAGCGGUGGAAUGCGCAGAUAUCAGGAGGAACACCAAUAGCGAAGGCAGCUCGCUGGGACGUUACUGACACUGAGGCGCGAAAGCGUGGGGAGCGAACAGG